UAUAUCAUACUCUGAUAAUAACAUCUGCGAAUGAGAAAUUCUCCCAAUUAAAGCAGGCUUCUCAAAUAUAUACUUGAUUGGAUUCAUUUUGGAUAUCAACCAAGUGGUAUGAUUCGACAUAUACUAACCCGGACGCUUAGCAGCCCAAGCCAAUGCCCAACAAGUCUUCUCUACCAUAGAAUACCGAGUCCACAGUCGGUGAAAUUCUUACUGAGGUAGUAGAUUGCAAAUUCUUUCUUUCUAGUCUCAUCUUGCUGACCAAGAA
rnacentral:lncRNA from 1 species